rnacentral:lncRNA from 1 species
CUUAACGUAUAUUUUUUAAGCCACAUUGACAUUGAGUUCAACAAAAUUUUCUCCACAAUUUAAGGUGAAAAGCAUUGUCCCUAAAAGCUGAAACAUUGACAUAAUAGUGGAAUUUUCUGAGAUAGUUGAUACAGUAUGAACAUUACCCAUUGAAAUAAAAACAUAUUAAUGAGUAGAAAUUAACCCACUUCCAUUUAUUUAACAACUAUGUCCUGAAUGUCCCCGUAACUGCUACCCUUGUUGGCACUCCAUAUACAUAGAUGAGCAAGUUAUCUCCUGUCUUCAAAGAAGGAAAUUGUCCAACUACAAAGCAAAUGUCUAAGCUAGUAACUUGAAUGCUUUUUUGGUUAAUAUCAUAUUAUAUGAUAUAGAACAAUCUCUAAUAUGUACAAUUAAGAAAUACAAAAUUAUUGUAAAAAUAAUUUAUGGAAUAUAGUUUGAGAAAUUAAAGAAUAAUAACGUAUGCAUUGCUUUGAUUAUUUUCUUAGCGUUACAUAGGCAAUUAUUGAGAGAGAGCGUGUUUGUCAUAUGGAUUGAAGAGUUUUUUUAGAAACCCAAGAAGCUUUUGUAGAAGAUGUCACUGGACUUGCUUUUUUCUUUUUUUGAGACAGGGUCUCACUCUGUCACCCAGGUUGGUGUGCAGUCGCACCAUGCAGCAUCGACCUCCCUGGGCUGAAAUGAUCCUCCCACCUCAGUCUCCUGAGUAGCUGGGACUACAGGCAUAUGCCACCAUGCCCGGCUAAUUUUUUGUGUUUUGAGUAACAACAAAGUCUCGCUGUGUUGCCCAGGCUGGUUUUGAACUACUGGGCUCUAGCAGUCUGCCCCCGUCAGCCUCCCAAAGUGCUGGAUUACCGACGUGAGUCAUGUACCCAGACGUAUGUUAUUAUAUGAGGAAGAACAGCAAGAUUUUCAAGAUAAAGAGAACGAUAAGGCAGAAAUGUGAGAAGUGUUGAACUUAGAAGAAAUUAAAGAACAUCCCCAAAGUCCAAACCAUCAGUGGAAACUGAAAAGGAGAGAGGAACAUGGGCAUGAACACUUACGCUAUCCAGCGGGCAUUAGUCAAUUCUGACCAAAUGAGCUGAUAUUUGUACAGCCUCGAGGGAGAAAUGGACAAACC